rnacentral:lncRNA from 1 species
UUCUCUGCAAUUUGGCUUUGGGCCUUUCGAGUUGCCUCCCCAGUGGCUCUCGGAGACCCGACACAGCAAGAAGCGGCUGCUUCCCCCCUUGGGUAACACCCCAGAGGAGCUUAUUCAGACAAAGAUGCCCAAGGUAGGCAGGGUGGAGCGGAAGAUGAGCAGAAACAAUAAAGUGAGCAUUUUCCCGAAGGUGGAUUCCUAGUAAGGAUUGUAAAUCCCUGGAAGCAGCAGGGAGCUCCCGCACCCCUGCCCUCCCUUCACUCUGGCCGGCCCUGCGAUUUGUGUGAUCUCAUUGCAGCCAACUACGGGUUGACUCCUCCUGUGUGGGCCAAAUGCUUUUGGAAUGAGAGGGAAACCUAUACAAAAUCAAUUGUCCUCUUUAUUGAGGGAGUAUAUAUACUUAUCUCAGUGAUGUGUGUCCUUGGUAUAAAGUUGGCGUUCCUCUCUGUGGAGACAAAAGCUGGACGGUGUGGAAAGGGCCUUGCUUGGAAUGGGCCCUCCAUGUGCAUUUUCUGAGGACCCAGCAGAAAUAUAGGGAGAGAAGAACAUCCGUGAGCUCAAAGGGAGUAGGGGCCCUCUGUGGGAAGCCCAAGAUAAUUAUGGAGGGAUGUGGCCACAAAGAAAAUGCCCAUUUGAUUCACUCAACUAUGACAAGUAUUAAAAAUGUUUAAUAUUGAUCUGUAUCUUCAGGGGAGAUAGGGACUUGGCAUUUGACAUCUGACACCUUUUCUCUAGAAGGCCUGAUCUUAUGACUCAGUUUCUCCUGAAGCCCUUCGUCUCUUUCACUGGGCUGUAGACAAGGAAUGGCUAUCCCACCCCCAUCCAACAGACAUGGCAACCGCUGUGCCAGGGGGUGAGCGAGGAGAUACUCUCUUGAUUAUCUUGACAUUCUUCUAACAUCACUGAAGCCUCAGAAAAUUAUGUCUGCAGUGUUGGUUGGAAAACAUUACAAGCACUUUACCAGGUCUUGCCCCAUUAAAUUGCAUUUUUCAACCAAGGGGAGAGAAGCUAAGAGGUAGAGAAGAAAGACAGAAAUGUCCGUACCCUGUAGUCUUCUCUCUUCCGAUGUUGAUCUCGUGUGAAAGGGGCUAUGUCGCAAUCAGUAGAAGUGAAGUGCAUUGAAAAAGAUGAUCUUGUGCAAACUCUCGGGAUUCAGAGGUAAUUUAAAAAUGCAGAGUUAGUGUAAACUGGAUCCUCUGGAAACAUCAAGCUAAAAAUACUUGAUUAGGAAAAGGGGAUUCUGCCCAAAAGAGGGAGAGAAGUCUGACAAAGAUGGCUUCCUUCUGAUAAGGACUCCAGAACUCAGGUGUGGCCAGUCUCGUUUUCAGUCUCUUUGCACAACUAUGGUUCUCCCUGCGUUGUGGACACAAAAGAGGAACGGGACAGGGAGAAAGAUUUAAUCAUUUUAAAUGCCAAGGCAGCACAUAGCCCAGGUGAGCUCUUCACUUCCUCUUUUCCGGCAGUUUUAGCAGGAGUCCAAGGGCAUAUAGGAGGAGGAGGACAGUGUCCUCAACAGGUUAGCCUCCUGGGGGCUCUUAUAAGCAAUUCAAGUCCGUUUUGGGGUAGAUGCACCAGGCUGAAUUCCAACCACAGGUGACACUCUACUUUUAAUGAGGGCAAAUCAAGUGCCAGCUCCACUGUUCUCUCUAGGACAUUUUGUUCUUGUUAAUAGUAUGUGGGGAGGACCAUCCAGUGCCUUGAGCAAGCUUGAGUGAAAGUAGACAUUCUCACUGGCAACCUUCCUUCCGAUUCCAAGGGCAGUGGUCCUCACGGAACCCCUCCUUUAACCACACGGGCCUCCUGGCCCUCGGCGGAAGCUCAGACUAUGUGUGGGGAGUUUCUUGUGAUGUCUGGUGUGGUGUGGUGUCUUGUGAUUCCAGAGUAUGAACCCAAAGUCCCUUCCUCGGAAGAGGGAAAUCCUCCCUCUUUGUGUUUUGUCUCCUUGCAGUGUCGUGCGCUCUUAGCACAAACAGGGGACUGCCACAUCCUCUCCGUGUGCCCCCUGCCCCCAGCCCUUUGUGCAUGCUAUCUAUAGCUUCGUGCCCUGGUAGUUAAUGGUGGCCCUUCAAGCUUAUCAUUCAAAACCUUCCCAAUCGUUAAAAUUUCCACCAAGGAGAAACGUAAUCUGUCAGAAAAUUGUGUCUACUUUGGAAGAAUUGUCAAACGUAGCCACUUUGGUGUUGUUCUGAUAAUAUAUAUGUACAACUAAUGCAUUCGGGUGAGGCACAAUUGGGUAGUUCUUUCUUAUGUAUGUUUGAAGCAGAUGGUUGACUUCUAGCAGGUCAUUGCCAGGUAUAUUUCUAUAGUCUUUGAAGAAUUACAUUUUAAUAAAAAACUGAAAAGUCGUUUCGGAACUCAAAAAAAGUUUAAUGAGCUAUUUUUUUUGUUUCUUCUUUUCACUCUCAAGUGGGCAUAUUAAUGUAAACAAUGAAUGUUGAGUUAAUCAAAAUUACCGUGAUAGUGGGAAGGUAGAGGAGAAGUAGACGGGAUGAUUGUAGGAGACAGCAAUCCUCAUCUACCCUGACAAGAGGCAAAUUAUGUCCAAAAUGGGUAGUGCGGAAGAGAGUAGAAUACACAUAUUUAGAAAUAACGGAGAUGUGUGACUGUCCAACAGCUAAAAUUAUGGCAGGUCCUGGUCUCUGGGACUGCUUUGUUUGUUUUAAGCCUUUUUGUUAUAUUUUAAAACAUUCUACAUAUCUAGAUAAAAAUACAAAUCAACUUUUAAAAACUUCCGGAUUUUGCAGCGUACCAUCAGACUGAACAAAAGAAAAGAGAAGAAACCAUUUGCAUCAUUAAAGGGAUUUGAGAAAAAUAGGCCAUUUAGGUUUUCAGAGUCAGAGUAACCAAUGGCUCUCGGCUGGUAUGCUCAAAUAAUGCUCAGAGAAUUCCUUUGGUUCGGCUCUAGGCACUAGGCAAUUAUAGGGUGUUCUCAAUUCUGUUUCCCCCCCGCGCCCAUAUUUCCUCAGUAACUAGGAGAACUAUUUCUUCUUUCUUUUUUGGGGGUGUAUUUAUUACAGUGCAUUUAAGAAUUAUUGCUAUUUUUUAAGAGCAAGUUUAAGUAAUGCUAGUUUGCUUCAGAAAUUUAGAGCCCACUUAAUAUUUUAGAUUUAUACAAAAAUAUCAAGUUUAAUGAAUUAAACUAUUCCGGAGUUUGUUUACUUAUUUAUAAUUGAUGUCUACAUCUACUUUUUUUUUUUUAAUUUUUUUUUUAACGUUUAUUUAUUUUUGAGACAGAGGGAGACAGAGCAUGAACGGGGGAGGGUCACAGAGAGAGGGAGACACAGAAUCUGAAACAGGCUCCAGGCUCUGAGCUGUCAGCACAGAGCCCGACGCGGGGCUCGAACCCACGGACCGUGAGAUCAUGACCUGAGCUGAAGUCGGACGCUUAACCGACCGAGCCACCCAGGCGCCCCUGUCUACAUCUACUUAAGAAAAUAUCUAAAGUGGGGCUAAGGUGUCAGCACUGAGCCUGGGUGGCUCAGUCGGUUAAGCGGCCGACCUUGCCUCUGGUCAUGAUCUCACGGUUCAUGAGUUCGAGCCCUGUGUCGGGCUCUGGUGCUGACAGCUCAGAGCCUGGAGCCUGCUUUGGAUUCUGUGUCUCCCUCUCUCUCUGCCCCUCCCCCUGCUCAUGCUCUUUCUCUCUCAAAAAUAAAUAAACAUUGAAAUGUUUAUCCUCCAUUAUUACGGUUAUUUUUGAAUACCCACUUGGCACAUAUUAUUAAACUGUACUGGGGACUGGAUUAAAACCUUUACAGCCUGACAGCUGUUUUUCUCAAUGUUAGUUCUCAAAUUUCCUUCUGCUUCGUGAUUUUUCCCUGUUUCAUGGUAGAGUAAUUCAGUUCAGAGUACAUGUGAAGAAACCCUUAAUGGAAUGCCAAGAUUCAGAUCACUCGGCUGAGAGUAAUCACAGACAUCGUCUUCUGCCUCAUGUCCUCCUGGUUAUUUCUGCACCGAGGUUACCCUUAGUUUCAUUUAAGAGUCACUGACGUCAAAUCAUUCUCACCCGUUCUUUGCCCACGCUCCCGCAGGGACACUUGAUACUGUCUUCUGCGAGUACAUGAAAUGUUAACAAGAUUCAUUCGUUCAUGACAGUAAAUAUUACUGCAUUUAGCAAUGUUAUUAUAGCGGAGUAUAAAGUAUUUAAGAUACGGUUUCUGCCCUCUAGACAGCUUAGGGGAGAGAAAAAUCCCCCACAAGAGACAGACGGCAGUAAAUGCGCAAGUGCUAAGAAGAGAGGCUGAAGGAAAGUGAAAAGUACGUUUCUCUGAGAACGUGCAUUUUCAUUAGUGAUUUUGUUCUGUGGAUGGUUCUAUGCAAGGUUUUUCUCUAAAUUCAGGAAGUUUCUUUCUCCAUGAAAUGCCCAUUUACCUCACACAGUCCUAGCACUUAGAAUAUGGAGGAUCUUAGCCUUGUUAUAAUUUAAAACGAAAAAAUCGGGGCCCAGGAGAUUGAUAUAUUUUUUUAAGACCUUGGACCAGGACUCAUGAUUUUAAAAAAUGCCUAACCCAUAAGCAAGAUGUGGGGAGUGGAAACCAGUGCCUUUAAGCGUCAUUUUCAGGCUGAAAUAUAAAUAAUUCAGUAGGCGGCCUGUUGAGAUGAUGAAGAAAUACUUUCCUAAGGCUUUCCGUUUUCUUAUCUGCUACUUACUCCAGAUGGGCAACUGCUGCCCAGCACUGGGAAAUCCCCCUUACUGCAGACAUUCUGUGUCAAGGGAGUGGAUGGGAGGAGUUGGAAGGGACUCAUGUGACCACCUAGUCCUGCCCCUGUCGAGAUCGCGAGACACGAUUAGAGAAAGGCUAAAAAACUCACUCGCCCAGAAUUAGUUUGCUGGAGGAUUUGACUCUGAGUAUGUGACCAGUAAAAGGCAGACAAAGGAAUAUGAAUGCCAGUGUGCCACCUGGAUACAAGAUGGCCCCCCAAUUGGGGCCAAGGUAACGAUCUCUAGAUUCAUAUCAAGAAAAUAGUCGGCAAUUUUCACAAGAACACCAAGUCAUCCGUAGUAAAACAUGGGAGACAAAUGACAUUCUCCAAUAUAGAUCGGAAGGCUGCUUUUAUUUGAAAUAAGAAUACUCAUUUUAUUAACAAUUGCAGUGAAACAUUCGAUAUAGAAUCUCAAGAACAUUUUAAUUUCUCUAUUUCUAUAAAGUAAGGGAAAGUGUUCAGGAGUUACCUUCCCAUUAGUAAAUAGACAGCCUGGUAAAUUGAAGCCUGGGGAAGUGAAGAGGCUUGUCUUUCUUAUUUUUUUAAGUUUAUUUAUUUUUGAGGGAGAGUGAGAGGGAGAGAGAAGAGAGAAUGAGCAUGAGCCAGGGAGGGGCAGAGAGAGAGGGAGACACAGAAUUCGAAGCAGGCUCCAGGCUCCCCAUAUGGGGCUCGAACUCACAAACUGUGAGAUCAUGACCUGAGCCGAAGUUGGAGGCUCAACCGACUGAGCCACCCAGGAGCCUUUAAUGUUUAUUUUUGAGAGAGAGAGAGAUGGAGAGAGACAGAGAGAGAGAGCGCGCGCGCGCGCGCGCACACACACACACACACACACACACACACACACANNCAGGAGGGGGGGAGGGGCAGAGAGAGAGGGAGAAACAGAAUCUGAAGCAGGCUCCAGGCUCUGAGCUGACAGCACAGAGCCCCAUGCAGUGCUCCAACUCCUGAACUGUGAGAUCAUGACCAAAGCCGAAGUCUGACACUCAACUGACUGAGUGCGCCAGGUGCCUCCAGAGGCUUGUCUUUCUGAAGGCAACAGUAGAGGGGGAUGCAAGUCCAAAUCUCAUUAAAACCUAAACCAAUUUUCAGUUCAUUCUAUUGCAUCAUGCUAUAAAAAUAGGGCAUAGCUGGGGCGCCUGGGUGGCGCAGUCGGUUAAGCGUCCGACUUCAGCCAGGUCACGAUCUCGCGGUCCGUGAGUUCGAGCCCCGCGUCGGCCUCUGGGCUGAUGGCUCAGAGCCUGGAGCCUGUUUCCGAUUCUGUGUCUCCCUCUCUCUCUGCCCCUCCCCCGUUCAUGCUCUGUCUCUCUCUGUCCCAAAAAUAAAUAAACGUUGAAAAAAAAAUAGGGCAUAGCUAUUGUUUUGCUUUGUUUAAUUCUUUGCUUCUAGGUUGCAGAGGAUAAGACAGAUGGCUGUUACUAUUGCCCAGAUGUUGCUAAACAAGCAGCUAUUGCUGUCGAGCCUGUUGAGCGGGUGUCUCUUAUGUCAGUAAGCGUAUCAUUGCAGUUGAAGCUGGGACACCUGAGCAGGUCAUUUCCAGCCGGAGCCAAGUCUGCUCCAAUUGGGUGAUCACAGAGCCUCAGAGCUCAAAGUAUGCUUAGAAGCCUUUAUCCAGCCCUUAUUUUACUAGGUGAAGACACAGGUGGAGGGAGGUCAAAAGGCCAGGCCCCGGUCAACUCUGCAGAGACCUGAUGAGAAACCAGGGAGGGAUGCAUGAUCUAAAAUGAUUUUAUGUCAGUGUACGAGUCACAAAACACAUUUUCAGCCAAAUUAGAACAUUCCAGUUUGUUACGACAAACUGAAGGGAAAAUAGAUCAGCUUCUGUUAAAUAAGGAGUUUGGAUGCUCACAGAAGAAAGAAGUUUAAACGAGAAAUCCAAUAGUCACCAAAAUGUUGAGUAGUUCCUAGUGUAAUAAACACCUUGCAUGUUCAGAUGGAAAUGUCCCUUUGGAUAUGAGCUAAGAAAAGGGAUUGUGUUAGAAGUAAGUGAGAUGCUAAGAAAUCCAGGAUGUCAGCCUGGCUGCUAAGAACAACACCCUGUGCUUAGUUACUGAUUUCUUCUUUAUCUCUGAGACCUUAACCCUGAGAAAACUAAUUUUUCCACAUUGCCGCUUAAGACCCUUAAAGUUUGGUUUGAAUACAUUUCUAGAAAGGUAUGUGAAUCCCUUUUAACUUUCUUUUGUGCUAAAAUAAAGAUUUACAUAAUAAUAAAGAUUUACAUAAUUUAUAUACUAAAAAUGCAUUUUAAUACAUAGAGCGGGAGACCCGAUUUAAAACAAAACAAAAUAAAAGACAGGAGCCCCUGGGUGGCUCAGUCAGUCCAGCGACCGACUUCAGCUCAGGUCAUGAUCUCUCGGUUCGUGCGUUGAGUCUGAACCCCAUGUUAGGCUCUGAGCUGACCGCUUGGAGCCUGGAGCCUGCUUCGGAUUCUGUGUCUCCCUCUCUCUCUGCCCCUCCCCUGCUCAUGCUCAGUCUGUCUGUCUGUCUCUCUCUCAAAAAUAAAUAAACAUUAAAAAAGAAUAAAACAAACAAAAACCCCAAACCCAAACCCUAUAGGAUCAGAGACCUAGCUCAAUAUAGAAGUUACGGUUUGGAAUCAAAGAUAGGAAUGAAGCAUGACACUCAAUGCAUGGAUAAUGGUCAGAAGCAGUAGGGUUCAGCACCCAGGAUUGAUUGCCACAGAGAAAUUGCUAAACUUCUCUUCAGCUACUAGGCACAAGCAGUGUCUCACCCAUCCCGCUGGCGGAGGCGACAUGCCCGGAGUAGAACACAGCAAUCUCACCUGGCAUCCAGCAAUGGAAACUGCGGCUAGCCUCGGGAACGUUCUGGCAACUCUUGAAUUCUUUACAGAUCCAGACUUGCUGCAGGUGACCAAACUUUGGAGCCAGCAAUAUAACUGGAGAAUGAAGCAGCCUGUUACUGCGAGGGAAUUCUCUGAGAAGAGAAACAGAUUUCUCCCUUACUGGUGAAUGACUCACUUGGCAGAGAUGAUCUCUGGAGGGCAGAACUGAGAUUUAAAAAAAAAAAAAAAAAUCAAAAAAAUUCUGGAUUUUAGAAGAUGUCUUCAUGAUUUAUUUGUCUUACUAUCUUAAAAAGAAAAAGCCUCUAUUAGCUUUCUGGGUCAUGAACGUAAAGCCGCACUGUUUGUGUGUGUGUGUGUUGGUUUAAAAAAAAAUUUUUUUUUUAAUGUUUAUUUCUGAGACAGAGCAUGAGUAGGGGAGGGGCAGAGGGAGAGGGAGACGCAGAAUCUCAAGCAGGCUCCAGGCUCUGAGCUGUCAGCACGGAGCCCCGCGUGGGGCCCGAACUCACAAACCCUGAGAUCAUGACCUGAGCUGAAGUCGGUCGUUCAACUGACUGAGCCACCCAGGAGCCCCUGUGUGUUGAUUUUUAUGCAUCUCCACGAUCUCCUGGCAUAGUUUAGUUUUCUCCGCACCCCCUCCCCCAUGCCGAAACUCAUAUCAUUUGAACAAGUUAAACAAGGUCAUAUGACAACACCUGGGUUAACUCCUUUCGCUUAAAAAUUUCAAGGGAUAUCAUUAUGUAUUUAGGCUAACAAGAUACUGACAAAUGGCAAACUUACUUCCCCCUCGAUUUUUAAAAGGGGGACAUUCUCUAACUAGCACUUCAGGCUGCGAAGCACUCCACAAUAGACGGGAAGAGGGAGGAAAGGGUUGUGAAUCAAGGAAAUGGGAAGGGAGAACAUUCUCCAGUUUUCUUGAUUAAUAUUUACCAAGGAGGUACUGAAUGUCUCUGGGUUGGGCAGCUCUAGGGGGGUCCAUGGUGCCUCGCAGAGAAGUGGCCUCAUCACCAUAUUACUCUUUGAAACAAGGUUUUUAAGUUAGUGGUUUUCAAAGCAUAUUCAUGGUUCAACUGCACCAGGAUCACCAAGGGGUUUGUUAAAAUGCAGAUUCCUGCGCUUGACCCCAGACCUACUAAGUCAGGGAAUAGGGACUAAACUGAACAUUUUAUUUUAUUUUUUAAAAAUGUUUAUUUAUUUAUGAGAGAGAGAGAAAGAGAAUCCAAAGCGGGCUCUGAGCUGCCAGUGUAGUGCCUGAUGCUGGGCUUGAACUCAUGAACCUUGAGACCACGACCUGAGCCCAAGUUGGGUGCUCCACUGACUGAACCACCCAGGUGCCCCUAUAAUGAACAUUUUAAAUAAAACAUAAAAUAAUCCCUAUACACAAUAAAAUCUGAGAAUCCAUUUUUAGCAAAUUUAUUUCAUAACUUUGAAGUACUAGAAAUAUACUAAACAUGUACUAAACUUAAAGUGCAUUUUACUUUGAGUAAAAAUAGGGUCACCUGCUUCAGAACUUACUGUUCGUUCUUUAAGGCUUUAUUUACUUCCCUGUUCACGUCUCUUGGUUAUGUGGAUGGCACCGUGGCCGAGCAGGAUUGGGAGGUGUGGGAGGGAGUGCAGUCCAUAUAAAAAGGGGCAAAUGAAAUAAAAUAUGGACUUCUUUUUAAGUCUGCAGAUUUUAUAUAAAUACAAAGGUAGAUAACUUCAGUCUUUCAAAGUCACUAAUGGUUAUUCGAUAUUAGAUAGUAAUAAUAUACACUAAGUUAUUAAAAAAAAAACCCAUUCUGUUCUUUUGAGAUUUAAUUUUUACUUUUCCAGUUUGGAUGUUUAUUUAAAGAUGGAUCCGAACACAGUUCAAACAUACAGGAUAUUUGGGUGCAGUGGCUUCUUGAAUCACACCUAAAAAUCCAAGAAAAGCGAAUUUAUGAGAGUUUUGUUUUUAACAGACAGUCAGCACCAUCUAGUGGAUACAAAUAGCCUCUUUUCUUGAAUUUAGUCCAGUGAGGAGGUGAAGAGAGCAGGCUUUUGGAACUGGCUUGGAACCUCAGUACCAGUCUUAGUUUCUGAGUGACCUCAGAAAAAUUACUUAACCUGUCUGUGCUCUGCUUCUCAACUAUAAAUCUGCAUAAUAAUAGUGCCACCUCAUAGGAUGUUAUGAAGUGAGAUGAUACAUCUAAGGUAUGUCCUAAAUGCUCAGUAAAUGUUAUUUUUAAAUAACACUGAGCCAUAAACUCACAGGAUAUGGGAGCUGUUCAGCGGCACACGCUUUUAACUGCCUUCCAAAAGAAAUGGCUAUUGAGUCUAGUUUAUAGAAUGUAUGAUAGGAGGCUUAAUGAGGUUCCACUCCCAAGUGUGCCGUCACAUUUUGCUGAAGCUUAUGGUAAGAAAAGGGAAAUUGGGGCAACAAAGCUGGAAUGGCAGCUGGGUCCCAGAUGGAAUACAAUGCGGGCUCUCUCUCAUUCAUUCAAAUCUGACUCCACUUAGCAGGAGAAGGUCAAGGGUAGGGAGAGAUUGAAAACGAAAACCAACUUUGAAACCAACACCGCCCUAGGUCACCAACCUGUAAUGAGACAGGGACAUUUUAACUUAAAAUAUCUUGACUCUAGGAGAAAUCUUCAUGAAUUAUUGAAAGGCUUUCAAUACUUUCUAGAAUGUGUCUGUGCUUUUUGUUUGUUUUUUUAGAAUUUUUUUUUAAAUUAAAAAAAAAUUUAAUGUUUAUUUAUUUCUGAGACAGAGCAUGAGUGGGGGAGGGGCAGAGAGAGAGGGAGACACAGAGUCCGAAGCAGGCUCCAGGCUCUAAGCUGUCAGCACAGAGCCCGAUGUGGGGCUCGAACUCAUGAACCGAGAGAUCAUGACCUGGAGCUGAAGUCAGACGCUCAGCCGACUGAGCCACCCAGGCGCCCCUGUCUGCUUUUUGAACACAACACUUCAGAAAACAGCACAGGGUGCUCUCUGACGUAUCUGAAUAUGAACCGUUUUGAGGGCGUCACCUGCAAUAGCUGACAGAAGUCAAGAAAUUAACAACAAAGACACAGACACGACAUAUACAAUUUGUUAAAAUUUGCCCUCAAGGCGCAUAUAGCCUCUCUGCAGUUCACAGGUAAUAGCAGGAGGUAAAUAAAGAAAGUGACAAUGACAGAAAAUGAGAUGAGUUUCCUGCGAAAUGAAGUCAGUGGGGACUUACUUGUAAUGGUAAAGUUACAGUGAAGAAACACUGUUUCUAUUGAGCCUGAGUUUUCUUUUCACUUGCUUCUUAGGUAUCUCCUGUUGUAUCUAUUUUAUUUUAUUUUAUUUAUUUACUUUUUAAAUUUUUUUUUCAACGUUUUUUAUUUAUUUUUGGGACAGAGAGAGACAGAGCAUGAACGGGGGAGGGGCAGAGAGAGAGGGAGACACAGAAUCGGAAACAGGCUCCAGGCUCUGAGCCAUCAGCCCAGAGCCUGACGCGGGGCUCGAACUCACGGACCCCGAGAUCGUGACCUGGCUGAAGUCGGACGCUUAACCGACUGCGCCACCCAGGCGCCCCCUGUUGUAUCUAUUUUAAAAGCAAAAGUUAAAAAAAAAAAAAAGGCAGAUGGGUCAUAGCCUUGAUUUUUCUUAAGUUGAUUUUCUCUCCCCACAUCCCCAAGAAAUCUGAAAUAUGUUAUUCUCUUAAAGAGCACCAUUAGUCACCAAAAAUACAAAUGGAAAGAAUGGCCUUUAUUCACAGAAUAUUACAAUUGUGCAGACACUUGGAGUUUGUUUAGUGUCCAGCUACUCUAAGAUUAGCCAGUGGAUAAGAAGCAUUGGCAUCACAUGGGAGCCUGUUAGAAUCUUGGGUCCCACCUGACACAUCGAAUCAGCAUUUAACAAGAGCCUCAGUUGAUUUAUCUGCACGUUAAAGUUUGAGAAGCCCUAGAAUUUUAGGUUCAUUUGCUCUCAGAUACAGCCCCACAAUCAGUAUUUUAUGAAAUCUCCUCAGGUGAUUCGAAUGCAGUAGAGUUAAGAACGGUAAAACUAGUCCCCAUUUGGGGCACCUGGGUGGCUCAGUCGGUUAAGCAUCCAGCUGGCUCAGGUCAUGAUCUCGAGGUGCGAGAGUUCAAGCCCUGAGUCCGGCUCUGUGCUGACAGCUCACAGUCUGGAGUUUGGUUCAGAUUCUGUAUCUCCCUCUCUCUCUGCCCCUCCCCCACUGGCACUCAGUCUCUCUCUUUCUCUCUCUCUCAAAAAAAAAAAAAAAAAGCAUACAAAAAAUUUAAAGCAACAGAAAAACUAGUCCACAUUUCUCAAAUGAGGAAAUUAUGGCCCACGAAAGGUUAACAGAUUAACCCAAGAUAACCCAGCUAUUUAGUAUCAGAAUACAAAUGAUGUCAUGUCUCCUCUUGAUAUAAAAAAACAACAAACGAACAAAACUAAACAGAGUGAAGGGAACAGAGGAUAGGGAAUGUGUAGCUGGGGAUUAUUAUUUUAUAUAGGGUGGUCAGGAAUGAACUGCCUGAGGAAGCAGGCUCUAUUCCUGAGGGAAUAGAGGAAGUGAGCCAUGUGGAUAGCUGGGCAACUGUAUUCCUGGCAGAGGAAGCAGAGGGCUGGAGUGUGUUUGAGUGUGUGUGUGCGCACGCACGUGGUGGGGGUUGGGGGAGUGGUGGGAGCUUAUUCCAUCUUGGAGGAACAACAACAAAAAAUAGUGUUCCAAAUUCUCAACAUAUUGAUCUUUGGGAUGCAGAAACAAGAAAUCAAAAUUUCCAGCGAUUCUCAAAGCCUUAAGUUAUUCUUAAAAUGUUUUCAACCUUCUUCAUAUUCUUGUUAUCAUGCUAUCUGAAUCAUUUUUAUAGAAGUGUUUAUAAGUGGCUACAAGAACUGUAGCCUAUAGCAAAUAUUCAAACACUGGAGAACACAGAGAACAUGAUUGGGUACCAUUUGAAUAACCUAACAUACAAGUCUUCAAGUGAGGUUAACAGCACUUUGCAGAAUCAUAGGGUGGGAAUUGCCAAUUGAAGGACUCACUUUUGAGUCAAAACUUGCUAUUUCUUGGAACACAAUUCAUAGAAUUUGUAUAAAAUAUACCAUGAAUAUCAACUAAUUAAUAUUUAUUUUAUUUGCAAGAAUGACUCAGCAGCAGACAGGGCCGGGAACACACAUGUGGAAAAUGGCACCAGUUCCACGCAAGACUGACAAAUCAGAUUGUGACAUGCUCCAAUCCAGGUUCCGAGAAUGUUGACCUUAACUUCUGACACAGUGCUCGCAUUUCCUGCUUUUGGUUUCACCUUGACAUCAGGGGAUUUCUUCAGCAACAUUUCUAUGUUGAUUGAUAAACUUUAAUUUUCAUAGGAGAAUUAGAAUAUACUUCUUCUAAUUUCUCAACUUUUUUUUUUUAAUUUGGAAAAACAUACACAUUUGCUGAAAAAAGCUGGGAAGAAAUUCCUGCGCAGAAACACUAACAAGGACAGUGACGCUAGAGCUAAGCUUACCAGGGAGAGGACGGUAGGACUGGAAGUUUGAGAGAAAACAUAGAGCCUGGUCAUUUAGGACCUGUGGGCAUUGUAAAGACUGCAUGAAGCAGAGGAGCCACAGAGUGUCCUGAGCGGAGGAGUAACAUGGUCUGCCUUUGGAUUUGAAAGCAUCAUUCAGGCUGUGGUUUGAAAGUAGUAGAGGCAAGGAAAGUUAGGAAGAAGGUUGUUGCAAAAAUCUAGGUGAGAGGUGAUGGCAGUAUGGGGCAGUAUGGAAGCACAGAAGGUGGUGAGCAGUAGUUAGACUCUGGAUAUAUUUUAGAUGUAAAGGUGGUAGGGUUUAUAACAAAUCGAUUGUAGCAUCAAUCAGUGGAUGGAGGAAUAGAAACUGAGGAUGACUUCAAGGUGUUUUGGUCUGAGCCUGGCAGGAAGGAGUUACUAUUUACUGAGAUAGAUAAGAGAGUGGAGUGGUAGUGGGUGUGAUCGUGGAGAGGUUUGUUUUUUGACAUGUUACGUUUGAGAUGCUUCUUACAUCUAAGUGGAGAUGUCAUAUAGUCAGUUAGAUAAAUGUGCGGAGUUCAGGGGAGAAGUCCGGGUUGGAGAUAGAAACGCAGGAUUUAGUACUAUAUAGAUGGCAUUUACCGCCAGGUUUUAAACCCAGCACUGCCCUAGAUUGUAGCUGUGGUUCCCUGACCAACUCACUUUACCUUUGUCUAUUUGCUUCACUGAAAAACACUCAAAGAAUACACAUGCUACCUACCUAAAGUUAACAAGGCUGUGUAUGGGGAAAUGCCUUGUAAACUGUAAAGUGCUGUCCAUACUAGAAAGCAGAAAUUUGAUGGUGCUGGGGAUGAAGAAAAUCAGUUUGGGAACCCAUGGAAAUAGUCUUUACGUGCCGAAGAUGAGAGAAUCCCCCCCAAAGAAAGUACGAAUAAAAAUCAUUACUAGUUUGGACUGUAGCCCAACUUUGCAAAACUAGUAUUUUUUAUUUAAAUGAAAUCCAAAAUUUAGCAAGAACUUCACGUAAUCUUUUGGGUUGCACAGCAAUCUUGUGAGGAAUUACUGUCAUUCCCAUUUUACAGAGGAGGAAACUGAGCUCAGGGAGGAUGCCAGACCUACAGAGCAUCAUACUAAUGGUAGACAGCCACAUAAGCAUCCAGACAUCCUCCUUCCGAGUUCAAAGCGAAUACGAACGACACACUCCCCAGCCACACUGUCCUCGGAUAGGCGGAGGAAACUGCAAGACUGCCCCAGCUCCCGAGACUCCCCUCAGCUUUCCUCGCCGCCCUUGGCCCCCCCACAUCUCAUUCCCGCAUGGUACAGCCCUUUUCUUUUAUCGCGAUACCGGAAGCUUCUUCUGGUUGCCAGGGGAACAGCGUCCCUGGAGGCAGGAGGGCUUUGGACGCACAGCUCCUUCCCCUUCCAGAAAAGCUGUGGUGACGGGAAAGAACCCUCCCCUUUGGGGGACAGGGGGUGACGCUGUCAGCAGGUGCGCUUCUGCGCCCGUCAAUGCUUUGCUGUCUGGUGACUGGCUCCCAGAGUUUCCGCCGCGAAGGUAAGGCACCGCACCAGUUAGGACACCACCUUUAACGCCGCGCGACUGGCGGAAGAGUGAGCGAGGCGGUGUCGUGUCAGGGACAGCCCCUGGGCUGUCAGGGAGAGGGGCAGGGCCGAUGAGAGGGCGGGGCGGAGUCGUGGCCGGCUGCUGGGCCCGGAGACUGGCUGUUAGCGCGAGGGGGCAGGGCCAGCAGGGGAGCGGGCUCAGCCGGGCUGGGCGGGGCCUACGGGGGCCACCCCACGGCGACCCAAGCAUUUGCCUCCACGAAGACUGUCUCCAGGAUUUCCUGGAGCCUGCUGCAAACUUUUCCUGACCUUAGGACCUCGUAUCAAGGACUCCCCCUGUCCUGUGCCUUCUGUUCCUUAAGAGCUAAAAGUUAUGGGGCAUCUGGGUGGCUCAGUCUGUUUAACGUCCAACUUUGACUCACGUCUUGAUCUCAGGAUCGGAAGUUCGAGCACCACAUUGGGCUCUAUGCUGACAGCUCAGAGCCUGGAGCCUGCUUCAGAUGCUAUGUCUCUGUCUCUCUCUGCCCCUCCCCCUGCUCAUGCUCUGUCUAAGAAAUAAAUAAACAUUAAAAAAAAUUAAACGUUAUAAUUAAAACCAAUCACCAGUCAUUUAAAAUAGACCUCAAAUAGCAAAGGAUAUAUAUAGGCAUGCUACAGGAGAAGAAAAGGUGACCAGUAAACACUUGACUGAAGCCUUGUCUGGUAAUUAAAGAAAUGUAAAUCAAACUCAGAUACCUUUGACACUUAGAUUGACCCCAGGCCAGAAUGGGGAAAGAGGAACUUUCAUCAUACCCUGUUGGUAGUAGUGUAAUUUGGUACAGCCAUUUUGGUGGACAGUGUGGCAACCUACCAAAAUUUGAAACACAAGAAUUCUUUGACUCAGCAUAGUUUAUCUUCUGGGUAUGUAAAUGUAACUAAAGAAAGAUUCGUACAAAGGGGUUAACUUAAAAUUGUGUGUGUGCCAUUUGUGUGUGUGUGUGUGUGUGUGUGUGUGUGUGUGUGUGUUGGGGAGGAGUAGGUAGGUAAAAAGGAUAGGUUUGCAUAUGCCUAAAAAAAAAAGUGAGACCCCCCCCUCCCCCGAUCUAUUCCAAGUGGUUCUUGGGGUGAGGAACAUUUUGACUUCAUUUUUUUUUUUUCAUGUUUCUUUAUUUGAGAGAGAGAGAGAAAGUGCGCGCAUUCACGAGCAGGGGAGGGGCAGGGAGAGAGGGAGAGAGACAAUCCCAAGCAGGCUCCCCGCUGUCAGUGUGGAGUUCGAUGAGGGGCUCCAUUUCACACACUGUUGAGAUCAUGACCUGAACUCAAAUCAGGAGUGGGUGGUUUAACUGACUGAGCCAGGCAGGUGCCCAGGAAAUUUUUGACUUUAAAAAGUUUGUAUUCUGGGGCGCUUGGGUGGCUCAGUCGGUUGUGUGCAAGACUUGUCUUUGGCUCAGGUCAUGAUCCCGUGGUUUGUGGGUUCAGCCCUGCAUCUGGCUCUGAGCUAACAGCACAGAGCCUGCUUGGGAUUCAGUUUCCCUCUCUUUCUGUCCCUCCCCUACCUGCUCUUUAUCUCUUUCAAAAGAAAUAAAAAAAAAAAACUUAAAAAUAAGUUUUAUAUUCUUCUAUAUUAUUUGACUUUUUCCUUCACAUGGGCAAGUCUUUCUUACAUCAUAAUUGUAUAAAGUAACAAAAAAAACCUAACAAAAUAAUUUUUAGACAUUAAAAUCAUGAAAAUAAGUAUAAUUCCACUUAGAAAAAGCCUGGCUAUUUGUUAUUUCUAAACAGAGGAGGAUUCAUUUUCUUUCAAUUCUUCCUUUCAUCCAAAAGUAGCAAAUCAUGGCAGCCAUGUGUCCCCAUUUUGGUUUUAAAUGAUCCUUGGUGGUUGCAUUUCUCACAAGCCUGUAUGAAAAGGUUUAAAUUAAUCUUGUUUGAAAUGAAUGUUAUAAAAAGUCGGUGCGUGGCGGUAGUGAUUUGUUACAAUUUAGAAUCUGGUCAUAUAUCAGCCCUUUAAAGGAAUAUCAUGAAGUGAAUCAUAUAUAUAUAUAUAUUUUAAUUUUUUUUAACGUUUAUUUAUUUUUGAGACAGAGAGAGACAGAGCAUGAACAGGGGAGGGGCAGAGAGAGAGGGAGACACAGAAUCUGAAGCAGGCUCCAGGCUCUGAGCUGUCAGCACAGAGCCCGACGUGGGGCUCGAACUCACUGACCGCGAGAUCAUGACCUGAGCUGAAGUUGGACGCUUAACUGACCGAGCCACCCAGACGCCCGGAAGUGAAUCAUAUUUUAUUUUUGAAAUAUCUUUAAUGCAGUAAGAAAAUGCUCAUCUUAUGAUGUUAAGUGAGAAACAUAUGAGUCCAAUUUUGGUGGAAACAUAUAGAGGAAAAAUGGAAAAGAAAUAUGCUAACGAUGUUAACUCAGAGUGGUGAAUAUUGGGUGAUUUUUAUUUAUUUUUGAAUACACUUUAAUAUAUUCUAGAAAUUUUUCUACAAUACUUAUGAAUUCAAGAUCUACUUAGUCGAGAAUCUGAAAAUACAGAUAAGCCAAAGGUAAAAUAAAAGACCAAGAAUAUCCAUGAAUCCGCCAAUCCAUAAGAACCCACCUCUGUUCAGUCCUUGACUUGUGAUCAUCUAUCAGGUCCUUUCCUGUAUAUUCCUUUAAUUAGAGAAUCGGACAUUUCUCUCCUCUCUUUCCUUCCUUCCUCCCUCUUUCUUCCUUCCUUCUUCUUUCUUUCUUUCUUCCUCCCUUUCUCUUUCUUUCUUUCUUUCUUUCUUUCUUUCUUUCUUUCUUUCUCUCUUUCUCUCUUUUUCUUUCUUUCUUUCUUUCUUUCUUUCUUUCUUUCUUUCUUUCUUUCUUUCUUAAUUCCUUGUUUAUGUCCUUAACUAGUUUUCUAUUGAAAUAUUUCUUUUUCUUACUGAUUGGUAAGAGUUCUUUAAGUAUGUAAAUUCAUUAACCUUUUGUGUAUUAUCUGUGUUGCAUAUAAUUUCCCCAGUUUCUCUGGUGCUUUUUAAUUUACUUUAGAGUUCUUUUUAGUUUGUUUGUUUUCCAUUCAAGAGCAUUAAAUGUUAUGUAAUCAAAACUAUUAGUCUCUUCCUUUUUGAUUUACACUCUUAUGUUUAGUAAGUCAUUAACCUAUUAUUACAUGAAUUAUCUUUAUGUUUCCUUCUACUCCCUUGGGGAUUUCUUAUUUUACAUUUAUUUUUUAUUUAAAAAAUCAAUUUUUACUUUUAUUAAAGUGGUAUAGUAAAAAAUGGCAAACUCUGCUAUGACAUUUACAAAGGAAGAAAAGAGAAGCAAUUCCUAGUCUUACUCUCCAGAAGCAACCAUUAUGAACUUGUAAAUAUUAUGUUUAUUUGAUGAUUGCUUGGCUUUGUCAGUUUUUGGACGUUCUCUUUGAUUUCCUAUCAUGACAGAUUAGAUAUUUUAUACUUCCUCUCCUUUUGCAUAUUCCUCCCUACAUACACUCAAUAUAGGUAAGGCACAGUAUUUGGUUAAAUCAACAUUUAGUGCUUCUGUAAUAAGUAUUUAUCAUUUGAUUACUUUCUCUGACAACGCUUUAUUUUUCUUGUGGAGUUUCUAUGGGGCUACUGUGCUUUCUUCUUUAACACUCAAGCACAUCUUUAAGAUCCUAAUUCAACGCCCCUCCUCCACUACGUUUUUCUACAUGGGCGAAGUCCUAAGAUUGUUCAGUUAUAUACCCACCCAUCCUGGGAACUGUAUUUUGUUUAAUUUAUUAUUUUCCGGAGCAAACAUAAUAGAACAAACCUCUUACUAAAGCCAACUGCAAGGUUUCUGGAGCCUUGUCGCUGAUCCAUGUCAUUGACGGUUCCCUGUGCUUCUAUUCCCCUUCCUGACAGGUAUUAUCCUGGCUCUGCAAAUGCUUCCAUCUCAUUGCUCCCUCUGUAAGCUACAAUAAGUCUCCCUUGACAGGCUGCUUAUGGCAUUUACAAGACAUUUGGCCUUUUGGUGACUUAUGCUUUUUGAUUGUGAUGUGAUGGGCCAGGGUGAUCCGUCAUCCCACAAUAAUAAUGUCAGCGCCUUCCUGAGUGAGCCCAAAUCCUUUUGCAGAGUUUGAAUAACGUGGAGAUCAAUGCCUUUUUCAUUUGCUAAGAUGGAAAGAGUUGACCUGCUGAUCCCUUAAGCGUCAGCUUUGGCACACUGAAUGGCGGGAGGCCAAAUCAUAUUAUCCCUCUGUGUGCUUUGGAGGAACAUCAGGUUGUUUCUCUUUGUGCUUCCUCCUGUGUCCAAAACUUCCCUGGACUCUUCCUCUGCUGUUCAAAGAAAGAAAGAGAGAUGAAUCAUUUUGUAGGGUACAAAAAGGACAUUGUUACACUUGCUUGGGCCAGAGGCCCAAUUGCCUUUCCUCUUUCUGUUAUGAGAGAAAUGGUUUAAUUCAUAAUUAGAAGGUUAGUGAAAUUAUGCAAUUUACGGAAGGAUUGUUGGAAGAUCUGUUUACGUGUAAAGUUAUGACAAGCCAGAAUCUGGAAUUCUCUCUAUUUCUUCCAUUUUCUCAGCGUGCGUGAUACCCCACCAUUACUGAGCAAAUCUGAAACGGUCCUGAUCAAAUGCACAGUUUGGAAGGAUCAGUGUGCCUGCAAUGCCCUUGUUCUCCUACUAGUUUAAGCCAUCCUGCCUAAUAAUUCCUGCUUCAGAAAACAGCACUGGGAAUAGGGAGCCACAGUGAUGACAAGCCUGUGGAUGGUGUCACACGAAAAAUAGAAAUUGGCAGUGUGUGUGGCCAGGUAAUAAGUGUCUGUCCUCUGUCAGAGAAAGUAGGUUUUUUUCUCGUUUCUGAGGGUGAGGUAGAAUCAUGGGUUUUAAAAGUGGAGGAUUGAUAGGAAAAGAGCAGUGACCUGGAGAUAGGUACUCCAUAAAAUGUGGCACCAAAGGGGAGAGGAGAGAUCAGAGCUGAGAGGAAAACCUUGGCUGAAAGGUGAGCUAGAACAGGAAGCGCUAGUAAAAUAAGGUAGGCAAAACCAGAAAAAAGUUGAGGUUUUAUCAAAUCAUUACGAUGAAGCGUGAAUCUAGGUUGAGAGGCAUGGUGCUCCCUGAGUAUCUCCUCAGGCCAAGGACAAAGUAAAUGUUUCUUUCUGAGACACAGGAAGCCAUUGAGAUAGCAGUCUGUAUUCUUUUGUCCAACAUCCUGGGUAGAAUGUUUUUCACCUAUAUUAACAUAAAACCUGUGGCCACAGACAUCUUUUGAUGAAAUUAGGGUAGUGUGACUUUGGUAGCAACGUAAUCCUUAUUAACAAAGGUUCUGAGUUAAUUGCGCAUUAGCACUCAUGAAACAUUUAUACAUAUAAGAUAUAACUUGCUUUAAUUUUUUGUUUGUUUCAGGAUAUCAAUGGAUAUUAUAAAGGGAAACUUAGAUGGAAUUUCAAAACCAGCCUCAAGUUCAAGAACGUGUCCUGGGAGUAGAGGUUCAAAUGCUUCUUUGGAGGUGCUCUCACCAGAACCAGCAUCCUUCAUGGUAGUUUGCUAUUUAGAAAUGAUGUUAAGUCCUUCUCCUGAACUCUAGCAAUUGAUAAACCAAGGCUGUAGUUAACAUCCCAUCUAAAGGAUCUUCUUUAAAUUAUUAUUAUUAUUAUUUAGUGUUUAUUUUUGAGAGAGAGAGAGAGACAGACAGACAGACAGACAGAGCAUGAUCUGGGGAGGGGGUAGAGAGAGAGGGAGACACAGAAUCUGAAGCAGGGUCCAGGCUCCAAGCUGUCAGCACAGAGCCUGACUCGGGUCUUGAACCCACGAACUGUGAGAUCAUGACUUGAGCCGAAGUUGGUCAUUUAACCAACUGAGCCACCCAGGCGCCCCUAAAGGAUCCUCUUUAGAGGGUGUGUUCUGGGAACGCUCACAGAUUUCUUCUUGGAUUUUACUUUAGACCAUUUAAUGUGAAAAGUCUGUGUCUUUCUUUACCUCCUGCUCCCCCUCCUUCUUUUAUUUUUCUUUGGAGUGUGGCUUAUUUAUUCACAGUUAUGCUUUGUUAAUGCUCAUCUGUAAGCUUUUUUCCUUUUUUUUGCAUAAGAAAUCUUUGUAUUCCAGGAGUGCCUGGGUGGUUCAGUCGGUUAAGUGUCCGACUUCGGCUCUGGUCAUGAUCUCACGGUUUGUGAGUUUGAGCCCUGCAUUGGGCUCUGUGCUGACAGCUCAGAACCUGGAGCCUGCUUUGGAUUCUGUGUCUCCCUCGCUCUCAGCCCCUCCCCCACUUGUGCUCUGUCUCUCUGUCUCUCAAAAAUAAAUAAAUGUAAAAAAAAAAUUAAAAAGAAGAAAUCUUUGUAUUCCAAUAUCUACUGUGCCAACAUUGACUCUUAAUAUGAAGAUGGUUCAGUAAUUUUAUUUUUUAAUUUUAAUUUUUUUUACACAACAAAAACAUAUUUUUUCAUGGUUCUAGGAGUCCAAGAUCCAGGUGCCAAGAGGUUAGGUUUCUCCUGGGGCCUCUCUCCUUGACUUGCAGUUGGUCAGCUUCUCUCUUAUCCUCACAGGGCCUUUUUGUCCAUGCUCCCAUACUCCUGGUGUUUUUUCUUCUACUUAUAAGGACACCAGUCUUAUUGGAUUCAGGUCCUAUCCUUUUUUUUUUUUCUUUUCAAAUUUUUAUUUAAUUUCUAGUUAGUUAGGGGUGCGUGGGUGGCUCAUUCUGACAGCUCAGAACCUGGAGCCUGCUUGGGAUUCUAUGUCUCCUUCUCUCUCUGCCCCUCCCCCACUCAUGCUGUCUCUGUCUCUCUCAAAAAUAAAUAAACAUUAAAAAAAUUUAAAAAAUUCUAGUUAACGUACUGUGCAAUAUUGGUUUCAGGAGUAGAAUUCAAUGAUUCAUCACUUACGUAUAACAUCCAGGCAUUCAUCGUAAGUGCCCUCCUUAAUACCCGUCACCCAUCUAGCCCAACCCCCACCUACCUCCCUCCAUGAACCCUCAGUUUGUUCUCUAUCUUUAAGGGUCUCUUAUGGUUUGUUUCCCUCUCCCCCGCCUUCAUAUCUUCAUCUGUUUUGUUUCUUAAAUUCCACGUAUGAGUGAAAUUAUAUGGUAUUUGUCUUUGAGUGACUUAUUUCACUUAGCAAAAUACACUCUAGCUCCACUCAUGUCGUUGCAAAUGGCAAGAUUUGCCAUUCUUGUUGAUGGCUGUGUAAUAUUCCAUUGUAUAUAUAUACCACAUCUUCUUUAUCCCUUCAUCAGUUGAUGGACAUUUGGGUUCUCUCCAUAGUUUGACUAUUGUUGAUAGUGCUGCUAAUAACAUUGGGGUGCAUGUACCACUUUGAAUCUGUAUUUUUGUAUCCUUUGGAUAAAUAUUUAGUAGUACAAUUGCUGGAUCAUAGGGUAAUUCUAUUUUUAACUUUUUAAGGAACCUUCCCAUUGUUCGUCAGAGCGGCUGAGCUAGUUUGCAUUCCCACCAACAGUGCGAGAGGGUUCCUCUUUCUCCACCUCCUCGACAACACCUGUAAUUUCUUGUGUCGUUAAGUUUAGCUAUUCUGACAGGUGUGAGGUGGUAUCUCAUUGUGGUUUUGAUUUGUGUUUCUCUGAUGAUGAGUGAUGUUGAGCAUCUUUUCAUGUAUCUGUUAGCCAUCUGGAUGUCUUCUUUGGAAAAGUAUCUAUUCAUGUCUUCUGCCCAUUUCUUAACUAGAUUAUUGGUUUUUAGGUAUUGAGUUUGAUAAGUUCUUUAUAGAUUUUGGAUACUAACCAAAAAGUUUCAGUGAUUUAAGAAGUAUAGUUCGGGUUAAAGACCAUGUAAUGUAUAUUUAGUCGGUACCUUACCUGGCCAUGAUUUCCUUUUCUUUUCUUUAGUGGUCUAUUUUUCUUUUCUUAAAAUAUCUAAACUUGAUGUUUUUUUUUUAAGAAUCAGUUUUUUCAUCUGCAAUGUGGUACUAGUUUUAAGCUUGUGGUAAACAAAAAUUUGAAACCUUACGGUAAAAAAAAUCUUUGCAGGCUCAUGAAUCCACACUCAUUUAUUCUUUUGAUUUAUGGACCAGACUCUACCUUACGAAACUCUUAAAGCAUUUGUUAUGAUUUAGUGCAGGAACUAGAGACCACUCUAGGCAUUUCCAGCAGACAGGGAUUAAAUAAUAGAAAUUCAGUUUCUCAAAAUCAGUGGAAGGCCAGCAUCAGUGGAGGGCCAGCGGGAAAGGGAAUCAUGGGAGGAAACUUCUCUUGGAUUUUUAGUUCCUAGGUCACACCUCCAUGGCUGAAAUCCAGAGAUCAGAAAGCUUCUGCCUCUGACGCUGCCACAAGUCCCUCAGAACCACAAAACUGGUGACUGGACAUACAGAGAUGACAGCCUUUGAGAUUUCUUGCCACCUUCCUAUCAGGAGCUUGGGAAGAUGGCUUCUCCCUCACGUCUGCAGUUUAAAUCUUGUGCACAUAUCUCAAACUGGAUGAUUCUAACAUGCAUCCAGAACCACAGGUGGCUUGUUAAAAUACCAUUUCUAGCUGAGCUCUCUGUUUUGUUUCAUCUAAUCCUGCAUCGUUACUGUGGGUUAAUGCUUGUUAGUUGUGUAAUAUUUCUUGAUAUCUGGUAGGAUGGGUCUCUCCAUCUUACUCUUUUCUAGAACUGUCUUAGCUAUUCUUGGCCUUUUUGUUCUUUUUGUAUUUUAGAUUGGUUUUUCAGGCCUUGCAAACAUUACUCUUGGACUUUUGACUGAAAUUACUUUGAAUUUAUAGAUGAAUUUGGAGACAGUUUGUGACUUUGCGAUAUUAAAUCUUAACUAUUAACAUUGUAUCUCAUUGAUUUUUGUUUCUAAUUUAAAAUUUUUAUACACUGUAAAAUUUAUUCUUUUUCAGUGUAUAGUUCUGAGUUUGGCAAAUGUGUAGAGUGAGACCAUCACAAUCAAGAUAUAGGACAGUUCCAUCACCCCUCAAAAAUUCCUUCAUGCUACCUACCUCUUUGCCUCUACUCAAUCUCCCUUACUCUUAAUCCUGGAAACCCCUGAUCUGUUCUUUGUACCUAUUGUUUUUCCUUUUCCAGAAAAUCAUAUGAAUGGAAUUAAAAAGUAUGCAGCUUUUGAGUCUGGCUUUUGUUUAUUGGCACAAUGCAUUUGAGACUCCUCUGUUGUUAUAUAUAUCAAUCGUUCACUCCUUUUUUAUUGACGAUUAGUGUUCCAUUGUGUGGAUAUACCACAGUUGGUUUACACAUUCACAUGUUGAGCAACAUUUGGGUUGUUUGCAGGUUCUGGUGAUUAUGAAUAAAGCUGCUAUUAAUAUUUGUAUACUGAAUUUUUUUUAUUUAAAAACUUUUUAAAUGUUUAUUUAUUUUUGAGAGAGAGAGAGAGAGAGAGAGAGAGAGAGAGAGAGAAUGGGGGAGGGGCAGCGAGAGAGGGAGACACAGAAUGCGAAGCAGGCUCCAGGCUCUGAGCUGUCAGCACAGAGCCCCACACCGGGCUCAAACUCAGGAACCAUGAGAUCAUGACCUGUGCUGAAGUCGGACGUUUAACCAACUGAGCCAUCCAGGUGCAUCUGAAUUUUUUUUUUUUUCCUAUGGGAGAGUAGGUUUUUAUUUCUCUUGGGUAAAUACCUGGGAGUUGGAUUUCUGGGUUGUGUGGUAGGUAUAUGUUUAACUUUAAUAAGAAAUUGCAAAAUUGUUUUCUAUUCCCAUGAGAAAUAUAGGAGCGUUCCAGCUGCUCUGGAUCCUCACAGAAGUUGAUAUUGUUAGUUUUUUUAAAAAGGUAUUCUUUUUUUUUUUUUAAUUUUAUUUUUUUUUUAACGUUUAUUUAUUUUUGAGACAGAGAGAGACAGAGCAUGAACGGGGGAGGGGCAGAGAGAGGGGGAGACACAGAGUCGGAAACAGGCUCCAGGCUCCGAGCCAUCAGCCCAGAGCCCGACGCGGGGCUCGAACUCACGGACCGCGAGAUCGUGACCUGGCUGAAGUCGGACGCUUAACCGACUGCGCCACCCAGGCGCCCCUUAAAAAGCUAUUCUAAUAGGCAUAUGGCAGUAUCUCAUUGUGGUUUUAACUCCCAUUUUCCUGGUGACUAAUAAUGAUAAAUGAGCUUUCAGGUGCUUAUUUGUAACCCACGUAUCUUUUUUGGAAAAGGUAUUGUAUUUUUUCUUUUUUUGCCUAACUUUCAAACUUGUCUUUGUCUUCUUAUUGUUAACUUUUGAGAGUUCUUUAUGUAUUUGAGAUAGAGUCUCUUCUUAGAUACGUGAUUUGCAAAUAUUUUUUCCUCGUCUGUAGCUUGACUUUUCGUUCUUUUAACCAUGUGUUUUGAAAAGCAAACAUUUUAAAUUUUGUUAAGUGCAAUUUGUCAACAUUGUUUUGAGACUUGUUUUUUGUUUUUGUUUGUUUUUGUUUUUUGGUUGUAUCCAAGAACUCUUUGUCCAACCCACGGUUCCAGAGAUUUUUUCCUGUGUUUUCUUCUGAAAGUGUUAUAGUUUUAUGCUUUACGUUUAGGUGAUUUUGGCCUCUCUUGUUGUCAGUGAGAAGGCUUUUGGAAAUCCGAUAUUCAUUACACUGUGGGCUGUCUCAUUUAGAUAAUUUUCUCUGGUUGCUUUAAUUUUUUUUCUCUUUGUGUUCAGUAUCUACUAUUACUCACCGGUGUUUGGAUUUGUUUAUUUUAUACUUCUGGAGACUAGUACUUCUUCACUCUGAGGAUUUGUGUGUUCUGUUUAUUUUGAAAAAUAUUCAACCAUUGUUUUUUUCAAAAGUUUCUAGUAUUGCCCACUGUUUUUUCUAUUUCAUCAUCCUGAAAGUCACAUUAAGUGUCUUUUGAAACUUUCCCUUCUAUCUUUAUGUCUCUCAUUUUUUUUAAAAAUAUUUUCUAUUCAUUUAUUUUGCUGUGCUUCAUCCUGGGGGAAUUUUUAACAUAUAUUUACAAUUUUUUGAAUCCUUUCUUAUGCUGUGUCACAUCUACUCUUUGAUCCACUGAAUUCUUAAAUUUAAUGAUAUCUUUUUAAUUUCCAGAAGCUCUUUUUAGUUUAUUUUCAAAUAAACUAAAGACGGUUGGUGCUAAUGAAGUGGGGAAAUGUGGGUAAAAUUGUAAAAUGGGCCAAGAUUGCCAUUUGUUCUCCAGUUUUGUCUUUUUACUUCAUUGCUUCCUGCUCAUUCUAAGAGUUAGAAUCAUGUGGGAUGAUAUAUGUGAGAGUCUUGUUGUGUCCUGAAGUGUGCUAUCCAAGUAUAUUGCUAAUAUCUAGUUAUGUGUUAUAUAUUCUAUAUUUCCCUAUAUAAGAACCGUUCUCAGGGAAAAGUCAGCCAAGUUCAUUUAUGCCAAGAGAUAAAUAAGCAUCAGGGCUCAUGUGAUCUCUUCUAGCAACUUCAAGAUUUUCACAGAACUCUAUAGCAUUAAGGAUUUAGUGGUUAUUACGGAAUUUAAGGCUUUAACCUGGCCUUUCACAGAGUAUGUUUUUGAACAGGGAACCCUCUUUAACACCUCCCAGAUCACAUAGAGGAGGCAUUGUUUUGCUUAUUUAUAAAUUGGGCCUCAGCUAGUUUCAUUCUAUGCUGGAUCUAGUAAUGCCUAUACCAUAGUGUCGUUGAGGAGUGAAUGAGGCCGUGUGUAUAAAGUACUUAGCACAGGCCCUGGCCAGUAGGAAUUCCUCAGUAAAUGUUGGCUCUGAUCAUUAUACCACUGACUCAGCUCAGUUCUGCUGGGACUUAUGUCCUAGUCUAGGUAAACAGAGAUGCUCGCGUGCAGUCUUGUAUCCCUGGCAGUUUAAUUCUCCACACGAUCCACCUUCUGCCCUGAAGAUUCAGAAGGGGACACAGAUUCCAGUGGCCGAGAGUUGACCACCCUCCAAGGGCCGAGCCCUGAUGGCCUGGAGCAGAGGUUUCCUCCAUUGGGAGGGGAAAUGCAUUCCUUCCAGACGGGCUGAAUCUCUCUGAGGUUUUGCCUGUCUCUUGGACUAUGUUCACUUCUGAUGUAACUCUCACUGCCACUCAUGGCUGUCAGGGCACUACGAUCCCUGCUUUUUCCUGAUGCAGCCGUGGAUGUCUUUUCUUGCUCUCUCUCAGGAAAACACAGCUGUGCCAAACUGGUGUUUUCAAAAUGAGCAUUGCUGAAAUGGAAAGAGAAACCAAAAUGACAGAAAAAUUGUGAAUAGCAUAAAAAUAAUUACCAAAGCACAUGGUUCUGACUUGAAGAAUAUCAUUAGAAACACAUCUCGAUUCAGACUCUUUGCUUUCCAACUCUUCAAUAGCCACAUGUGGCUGGUGGUCAUCGUAUGGGAGCGCAGCUCUAGACCUUUGACUUUCCAUCUGAGUGUAAGCUCCAGAAGCAGGGACCAUCAUGCCUUAUGUCCAGAGCUGGCAGAGAGGGGUUCUGGGACGGAUUCCUGACCCUUCUCCAUUAUCGCUGGAACUUGCCAGAGAAUGGGGCAUGUCUUUUUGGUGCAAAUGGUAUUAUAUUUACGUAAUUAACUUACAGUUAAUUAAAAGUUCUGUUUCUAGAGUAGUUUAACACUAGCGUAUGUAUGUGUGUAUGUCCCCACAUGUAUUUACUUUAGUGUUAAAAUAGUCUACAAAUGUUAAGGUUUUAAAACCUUACCUACUUAUGAAAAUUAUUUCUUUGGAAAUAAUGUUUAGGUUGAUACUGCAAUCAAGUUGAACUCUGGUAUAAAGGGCCACUCUGAGAGGA